rnacentral:rRNA from 1 species
GAUGAACGCUAGCUACAGGCUUAACACAUGCAAGUCGAGGGGAAACGACAUCGAAAGCUUGCUUUUGAUGGGCGUCGACCGGCGCACGGGUGAGUAACGCGUAUCCAACCUGCCCAUCACUUGGGAAUAACCUUGCGAAAGUAAGACUAAUACCCAAUGACAUCACACGAAGACAUCUGAAUGGGAUUAAAGAUUUAUCGGUGAUGGAUGGGGAUGCGUCUGAUUAGCUUGUUGGCGGGGUAACGGCCCACCAAGGCAACGAUCAGUAGGGGUUCUGAGAGGAAGGUCCCCCACAUUGGAACUGAGACACGGUCCAAACUCCUACGGGAGGCAGCAGUGAGGAAUAUUGGUCAAUGGGCGAGAGCCUGAACCAGCCAAGUAGCGUGCAGGAUGACGGCCCUAUGGGUUGUAAACUGCUUUUAUAAGGGAAUAAAGUGGGUCUCGUGAGACUUUUUGCAUGUACCUUAUGAAUAAGGACCGGCUAAUUCCGUG